rnacentral:rRNA from 1 species
GAUGAACGCUGGCGGCGUGCCUAAUACAUGCAAGUCGAGCGAACGGACGAGAAGCUUGCUUCUCUGAUGUUAGCGGCGGACGGGUGAGUAACACGUGGAUAACCUACCUAUAAGACUGGGAUAACUUCGGGAAACCGGAGCUAAUACCGGAUAAUAUUUUGAACCGCAGGGUUCAAAAGUGAAAGACGGGCUUGCUGUCACUUAUAGAUGGAUCCGCGCUGCAUUAGCUAGUUGGUAAGGUAACGGCUUACCAAGGCAACGAUGCAUAGCCGACCUGAGAGGGUGAUCGGCCACACUGGAACUGAGACACGGUCCAGACUCCUACGGGAGGCAGCAGUAGGGAAUCUUCCGCAAUGGGCGAGAGCCUGACGGCGCAACGCCGCGUGGGUGAUGAAGGUCUUCGGAUCGUAAAACUCUGUUAUUAGGGAAGAACAUAUGUGUAAGUAACUGUGCACAUCUUGACGGUACCUAAUCAGAAAGCCACGGCUAACUCCGUG